rnacentral:lncRNA from 1 species
UGUACGAGAGCACCCUAACUCGCCCGUUCCAGUAAAGAUCGCGCUCCCAAGAUUGCAAUGCACUGGGCAGUACCAUGCAUAAGUAACUUAGCCAAAAAGAGAGUCAGAAGCAGCGCCCAAGUCAAGGAGGCUCCAGAUGGUGGCACGUGUACGACUGGAUGCGAGCCACGUGUCCAGGUCUGUAACUGCCAGGAGAGAGAAAGUGACCAGGUAUAUAAG